rnacentral:rRNA from 1 species
GCUUGCAUCAGAUGACGAGUGGCGCACGGGUGCGGAACGCGUAUGGAACCUGCCUCUGUCAGGGGAAUAGCCCAUGGAAACGUGGAUUAAUGCCCCAUGGUAUCCUAGUACUGCAUGGUAUUAGGAUUAAAGAUUUAUCGGACAGAGAUGGCCAUGCGUAUCAUUAGCUAGUUGGUAAGGUAACGGCUUACCAAGGCAACGAUGAUUAGGGGCCCUGAGAGGGGGAUCCCCCACACUGGUACUGAGACACGGACCAGACUCCUACGGGAGGCAGCAGUGAGGAAUAUUGGACAAUGGUGGGAACACUGAUCCAGCCAUGCCGCGUGCAGGAUGACUGCCCUAUGGGUUGUAAACUGCUUUUAUACGGGAAGAAACCCAGGUACGUGUACCUGGCUGACGGUACCGUAAGAAUAAGGACCGGCUAACUCCGUGCCAGCAGCCGCGGUAAUACGGAGGGUCCGAGCGUUAUCCGGAAUCAUUGGGUUUAAAGGGUCCGUAGGCGGGCCUAUAAGUCAGAGGUGAAAGGCCACGGCUCAACCGUGGGACUGCCUUUGAUACUGUAGGUCUUGAGUUACAGUGGGGUUGCCGGAACAUGUGGUGUAGCGGUGAAAUGCAUAGAUAUCACAUAGAACACCAAUCGCGAAGGCAGGUGGCCAACUGUAUACUGACGCUGAUGGACGAAAGCGUGGGGAGCGAACGGGAUUAGAUACCCCGGUAGUCCACGCCGUAAACGAUGGACACUAGCUGUGGGGUUUUCGGACUCCGUGGCCAAGCGAAAGUGAUAAGUGUCCCACCUGGGGAGUACGUUCGCAAGAAUGA